UAGCUGUUUUUAGGCUGUCAUGGCAACAACAGCCAGUGUGAAACUUCACAGAAAAAGAAGAACAGCCAGUAUGUGUGAGAAUUUCAUGGGAAGGACAUGGGGAGCUAAUAGUAGCUAGCUAAUAUGGCUAAUUGGCUAUUAUAUGUAUCAAGCUACUGGUAGGUUAGAUAGCUAGCCAGUAGCUAUCUGGCUAGCUGGCUAAGAAGAGGCACUACUGGCUAACAUUACUGGCUAACGUUAGCUAUGCUAGCCAACUGGUACUGGCUAGCAUAGCUAGCUAGCUACCUUCACAACAAGACACCAUCGUGGAACACCUUCUUGUAAUUUCACAUUUGGAAGGUGGAUAACUAACAAUUAGCUGGAUUACUAGCUUGCAUGGUUAUUUAUUUUCUAUCAGAUAGCUUGCAAACAAUGAUACACUAAAGUUACUCUAGAGGGGAUCACUAAUGGUAUGUAGCUAUUCAAAAAACAAAGGACUUAUCUGAAAGCAUUUCAUCAGGCUAUAUAGUGUAACGUCACAUGUACAAUAUAAUAUUUUGUUUCCUAUUUUGGCCAGCUCUCGCACUGUGUGUGUGAGUGUCUCUCUCGCAUGUCUGUGUGUCCCCCUGUCUGUUUAGGAGUUCCAGAUGUGGCUGCAGGAGAGUAGUGGCAGAGAACACUGCAGGGCAUUUUCUCUGAGCAAUGAUAUGAAAUGUAGGACAUGUACAAACUGGUGCGAACGUGGUGAAGGCCGCUCAAAUUAACAAAUGGACCCGACUGCAAUGUUUUGGACAUCGUCUGCACUUGGCCAAUGAGAGAGUAGGUAGAGACAAAUGGGUGGAUCGAGCAAUUGGAGUGUGUAAGAAAGUGGUAGGUGCCUUUUCCUAUUGGUGGAAAAAGAAGAGGGACCUGGCAGUUGUUCAAAAAGAACACAACCUACCCCAGGGCAAGUUGGUGACAGAGUCGCCUACAAGGUGGGGAUCACGUCAAAAGAUGGUGCAAAGAGUAAUGGAGCAGGAGAAAGCCAUUUCACAGGUCAUGUCCAGUGACAAGAAGACCCGGCACUUACCUCCCACCUAUACAGAUAUAGAUGUUCUUGAGUCCAUCAACCAGGCAUUGACCCCACUCCUAGUCUUAUGUCAGUGUGUCUUACCUGAAGCCAGUACUACACCUGUUCAAUACAGAGGUCAUGAAACCUGAUGAUGGUGAAACAGAGCUCACCCAAACCAUCAAAACGGUAGUCAUGGACUAUCUGAAUGAGAAAUAUGAUGACCUAGCCACAGAUGACCUCCUGGACACAGCAUCGUUAGUCGACCCUGGGUUAAAACACAUUACAUCAAAGAGGAGAAGGUGGGCCACAUAAAAGCAAGAGCUGUCUCAGAGAUGGUCAGUGACGGAGAUGAAAACCCAAGCCCAGCACAGGGAGACGUUGCUGCUGCUGCUUCACCACAAAUGCCAGCUAAAAAGAGAAAGUCACUGGGCAGUUUUUUCAAAAAACCAUGCUCCACCACCACAGGUCUUACUGAAAUCCAGCUGGUAGAAAAGGGACUCAGCUGCUACCUUCAGUCUCCUGAUGCUGACGGUGAAACCAAUCCACUGGACUGGCGGAAGAUCCACCCAAAAAACUUUCCCGAAGUCAGCCACCUGGCAAAGCGCUACCUGUGCAUUCCUGCGACCAGCUCCCCCUCAGAGUGUGUUUUUAGCACAGGUGGCAACAUAGUGACCUGCCAUAGGGCAGCUUUAAAGCCGGAGACAGUAGACAGACUUGUCUUUCUUGCUUGUAACUUGUAAGACAACAACGACUGGCUGAUGUUUUGGUCACUUUUGAAUGCUGGCGGUGCUUUCACUCUAGUGGUAGCAUGAGACGGAGUCUACAACCCACACAAGUGGCUCAGGUAGUGCAGCUCAUCCAGG
rnacentral:lncRNA from 1 species